rnacentral:rRNA from 1 species
UACGAAGGGGGCUAGCGUUGCUCGGAAUGACUGGGCGUAAAGAGCUCGUAGGCGGUUUGUCGCGUCGGCUGUGAAAUCCCGAGGCUCAACCUCGGGCCUGCAGUCGAUACGGGCAAACUAGAGUGUGGUAGGGGAGACUGGAAUUCCUGGUGUAGCGGUGAAAUGCGCAGAUAUCAGGAGGAACACCGGCGGCGAAGGCGGGUCUCUGGGCCAUAACUGACGCUGAGGAGCGAAAGCGUGGGGAGCGAACAGG